GAUUAACGCUGGCGGCGUGCAUAACACAUGCAAGUCGAACGAUGAAACUUAAAUGAUUUCUUCGGAAUGAACUUAAGUGGUUUAGUGGCGGACGGGUUAGUAACGCGUGAGUAACCUGCCUUACACAAGGGGAUAGCCGUUGGACACGACGAAUGAUACCCUAUGAAACUAUCACUUCGCAUGAAGCGAUAGUCAAAGUGUUAGCGGCGUAAGAUGGACUUGCGUCUGAUUAGCUAGUUGGUGAGAAAAAAGCCCACUAAGGCAACGAUCAGUAGCCGGCUUGGGAGCGUGUACGGCCACACUGGGACAGAGACACGGCCCAGACUCCUGCGAGAGGGAGCAGUGGUGAAUUAUGCACAAUGGGGGAAACCCUGAUGCAGCGACGCCGCGUGAUUUAGAAGGCCGUCGGGUUGUAAAAAUCUUUUGUAUAGGAAGGAAAUGACAGUACUAUACGAAUAAGGUCCGGCUAAUUACGUG
rnacentral:rRNA from 1 species